rnacentral:lncRNA from 1 species
ACCAUAGGUGAUGCGGAGAUCGCUUGCAUCGCUAAGAAAUGCGGGGCGUUGAGGAAGUUCUGUAUCAAAGGGUGUCCGGUUUCGGAUCUAGGGAUCGAGGCCCUCGCUGCUGGUUGUCCUAACCUGGUGAAGUUGAAGGUGAAGAAAUGCAAAGUGGUGACUGGAGAGAUUGGAGAGUGGCUUCGCGAACAGAGGAGGACGCUCGUGGUGAGUAUGGAUGGUGAUGAAACGGAAGCAACGGUAGCUGUGGAUGGUGAGAGUGAGACAGCGUUGGAGGAGCCGAGGGUGGGU